rnacentral:tRNA from 1 species
GCCGACGUAGCUCAAUGGCAGAGCAGCGGUUUUGUAAACCGCAGGUUCUCGGUUCGAGUCCGAGCGUCGGCUCCA